rnacentral:tRNA from 195 species
GGUGGGGUUCCCGAGCGGCCAAAGGGAGCAGACUGUAAAUCUGCCGUCAUCGACCUCGAAGGUUCGAAUCCUUCCCCCACCACCA